AUUGAACGCUGGCGGCAGGCCUAACACAUGCAAGUCGAGCGAGAAAGGUCUUCGGACUGAGUACAGCGGCGGACGGGUGAGUAAUGCGCAGGAAUCUACCUGGUAGUGGGGGGAUAACUCGGGGAAACUCGAACUAAUACCGCAUACGCCUACGGGGAAAGCGGGGACCGUUCGGGCCUCGCGCUAUCAGAUGAGCCUGCGUAGGAUUAGCUUGUUGGUGAGGUAAAGGCUCACCAAGGCGACGAUCCUUAGCUGGUCUGAGAGGAUGAUCAGCCACACUGGAACUGAGACACGGUCCAGACUCCUACGGGAGGCAGCAGUGGGGAAUAUUGCGCAAUGGGCGAAAGCCUGACGCAGCCAUGCCGCGUGUGUGAAGAAGGCCCUUGGGUUGUAAAGCACUUUCAAUUGGGAAGAAAGGUUGCGUGUUAAUAGCACGUAGCUGUGACGUUACCUUUAGAAGAAGCACCGGCUAACUCCGUGCCAGCAC
rnacentral:rRNA from 1 species